UAGCGUAUAUUAAAGUUGUUGCAGUUAAAACGCUCGUAGUCGGAUUUCGGGGCGGGCCGGCCGGUCUGCCGAUGGGUAUGCACUGGUUGGCGCGUCCUUCCUUCCGGAGACCACGCCUGCUCUUAGCUGAGUGGGUGUGGGAGACGGAUCUUUUACUUUGAAAAAAUCAGAGUGUUUCAAGCAGGCAGUUCGCUCUUGCAUGGAUUAGCAUGGGAUAAUGAAAUAGGACUUUGGUGCUAUUUUGUUGGUUUCGAACACCGAAGUAAUGAUUAACAGGGACAGUCAGGGGCACUCGUAUUCCGCCGAGAGAGGUGAAAUUCUCAGACCAGCGGAAGACGAACCACUGCGAAAGCAUUUG
rnacentral:rRNA from 1 species